rnacentral:misc_RNA from 1 species
AAGUCGUAACAAGGUUUCCGUAGGUGAACCUGCGGAAGGAUCAUUAUCGAGUUUUGACACGGGUUGUAGCUGGUCUCUCCGGAGGCAUGUGCACGCCCUGCUCAUCCACUCUACACCUGUGCACUUACUGUGGGUAUUGGAAGGCGUCGCGCCGUUUCUUACGGUGAGGCGUUAACCGUGCCUACGUUUUACUACAAACGCUUCAGUAUCAGAAUGUGUAUUGCGAUGUAACGCAUCUAUAUACAACUUUCAGCAACGGAUCUCUUGGCUCUC